GAUGGUGGAGGGUUGGGUGCAACCAGUGUUCAGCCCGUGUCUUGCCUGAAGAGAGCCAUCCUAGUCCACUCUGGUCUACUUACACACUGAAGUAUUAAAAGCAAAGGAAGCUGGACGUGGUCAACAGAGAUUUGGGCAUGGCACUUCCAGGUGUUCCAGAACAAGUGAGAAGAACCUCCCUCUGGACUGCCCAUCAUCUGAAUGUGUCAGGGAGAGACCCAGACCAAAGAGUAGCCCAAGGAAUGCCUACAACUGAACAUACGGAAGAGUUGAAUUGACUUCCCAAGGGCAGCAGGCAGUCUCAGAAGCAGCUGGCUGGCACCAGAGUGUGAUAUGGUGAAGAGUUCAGGAUGCUGUACGUGGAAAUGCAAGGCGGAGUACAAUGGGAUACGUUUCACAAAGGACUUUCGCAGUCUGAUCAUCCCAGUACAGAAACUCUCACUCACUGAAGCACCAAGAACCAAAUCCCUUUCACCUUCAAUAGAUUUGGGCUUAGAUAUGAACCUCAGGAGCAGCAUCUGCCUUUAGCAGGAGCUGAACUCUUGCAGCUCUUCAGCGUGAGCUGUGCCCGUCCUGCAAGGGAACCAGAAAGGAAGUUCAGCUUAUUCUGCAAUUCCAGCUUUGGGUUCCACUAUAGUUAUGGGCGACCAACACCCAAAGACAGCCUUUUUGUCCACAAAAUGUAUGUGAGAUUGAAAGGAAUGCCUUAAAUAUGCGUCUCUGCUCAGGCCAGGUAAUGGUAAAAAAUGCACAAUGAAUUAAAAAGCAGGAAUAUAACAUGAGCUGAGAAUUGUUGGUU